GGGCCCGUAGCUCAGUUUGGAUAGAGCGACAGCCUUCUAAGCUGUAGGUCGCAGGUUCAAAUCCUGUCGGGUCCG
rnacentral:tRNA from 1 species